UACGGAGGGUGCGAGCGUUAAUCGGAAUUACUGGGCGUAAAGCGCGCGUAGGCGGUUUGUUAAGUCAGCUGUGAAAGCCCCGGGCUCAACCUGGGAACUGCAGUUGAUACUGUCCGACUAGAGUACGAGAGAGGGAGGUAGAAUUCCAUGUGUAGCGGUGAAAUGCGUAGAUAUAUGGAGGAACACCGAUGGCGAAGGCAAUCCCCUGGACCUGUACUGACGCUCAUGCACGAAAGCGUGGGGAGCAAACAGG
rnacentral:rRNA from 1 species